UACGGAGGGGGCUAGCGUUGUUCGGAAUUACUGGGCGUAAAGGGCGCGUAGGCGUUCUAUCAAGUCUUGUGUGAAAGCCCCAAGCCUAACUUGGGAAGUGCACAAGAAACUGGAAGAAUAGAGUUCCGGAGAGGAAGAUGGAAUUCCCGGUGUAGCGGUGAAAUGCGUAGAUAUCUGGAGGAACACCGGUGGCGAAGGCGGCAUCCUGGACCGGCAUUGACGCUGAGGCGCGAAAGCCAGGGGAGCAAACGGG
rnacentral:rRNA from 1 species